rnacentral:rRNA from 1 species
CGGGGCUUAAAGUCUUGUAAUUGGAAUGAUGGGAAUUUAAACCUCUUCCAGAGUAUCAAUUGGAGGGCAAGUCUGGUGCCAGCAGCCGCGGUAAUUCCAGCUCCAAUAGCGUAUAUUAAAAUUGUUGCAGUUAAAAAGCUCGUAGUUGAAUUUCUGCUGCAUUGCUUGUGUCCCUCUGGGGUCUGUGCAUGUGGCUUUUUUCGGACGGAGUUUCUUUGUCUGAAUGUUUACUUUGAGAAAAUUAGAGUGCUCAAAGCAGGCUUUCGCCUUGAAUAGUUUAGCAUGGAAUAAUAAAGUAGGACUUUGGUUCUAUUUUGUUGGUUUUAGGUACCAAAGUAAUGGUUAAUAGGAACAGUUGGGGGCAUUCAUAUUUAACUGUCAGAGGUGAAAUUCUUAGAUUUGUUAAAGACGAACUACUGCGAAAGCAUUUGCCAAGGAUGUUUUCAUUAAUCAAGAAC